AUCAAAAACAUGGUCUUUUGUUGAAAUAAAAGGUCGGGCCUGCCCGCUGAAUGGAUAUGGUUGAAGGGCUGCAGUAUAUUAACUGUACAAAGGUAGCGUGAUAAUUUGUCUAUUAAAUGUUGACUUGGAUGAAUGGUUUGACGAGAUAUUAACUGUCUCCAUAUAAUUUUUUUGAAUUUAAUUUUUUAGUGAAGAAGCUAGGAUGUGUUUAAGGGACGAAAAGACCCUAUAGAUUUUGAAUUAUUUUGUUUUGUUUGUGAUAUGUUUAGAUAAGUUUAGUAAUGUAAUUUUUGCUGGGGCGGCGGUUGAAUGUAAUGAUCUUCAGUUGUUAUGUAUUGCAUUAGUGAGUGUAAUGAUCCUUUAUUAUGGAAAAUAAGAGGAAAAUACCUUAGGGAUAACAGCGUUAAAUAUCCUGAGAGUUCUUAUCGACGGAUUAUGUUUGCGACCUCGAUGUUGAAUUAGGAUUAAGUGAUGGGUGGAAGGACUUAUUUACUAGGUCUGUUCGACCUUUUAAAUUCUACGUGAUC
rnacentral:rRNA from 1 species